CUUUCACUUGAAAGACCAACGAUGAUAUUAUAUGGAAUUGAUAAUAUCCGCGAUCUGUUUGGACACACGGUGGAUCUUAGUCUCAUGAAGAAAAACCCUCUGUGUCUCAUUGGAAUACGGUAGAUUGUGAAAUGUUUCUUAUUUGUGGCCUUAAUUAUUUCUUUUCAUUUGAGAAUAAAUUGAAUGAGUUUUAUGUGGGGGAAAUUAGGAUGGG
rnacentral:misc_RNA from 1 species